GCUCUCACAGCCACCCAUGGGGACAAGGAGCCCUCAGCCCCCAGGGCUGUCCUGCAGGGCCUCCCCUGCACCUCCUCGGAACCGCGGCCUUGCCUGGCACUGCUGUCACCCCCUGGGCCCUGCAGGGCAAAUGUGCCAUUGUCCAGGUCAUCCCUGAUGACUGACGAUUCUGCUUUUUAUAUUUUCAUCUAUUUGUAAUCCUGCAGUUCUUCAGUGUAUGACUCUAAACUCCAUGUGCAGUGUGAUCUGCUGCUUUCCCGUUUUGGGCAGACACAACAAUUCCUCUCCAGGCCUGGCAGUCAAGGACACCUCACUGCCUCAGGCCUGAGAGAUGGAAAAAAAAGUGAAUUGGGGGAAAAAACAUGGGGCCACUUUUUACCUCUGUAAUACUUGAUGUGAAACCACUUGAAGAUAAAUGUGAAACCAACAAAAAUUCAUUUUAUUUGCAAGCGUGAGGCACUCAGAAAUUUGCCUGCUGGGUUUAUCAGAGCAGCUCUCCUGGCCUUGGUGGCACCAGCUGUCCCUGCACACCAGGCUGGCUCUUCACAACUCUCCACAGCUGGGAAAUCUUCCCAAAAUGCUACAAUUCCCCCCCCGAAUUCAGGCUGCUGGAAGUUGAACUAAAUAAAAGAUCAGAUACAUUGUGCUGACCCCACAAUGAGUUGUGUUUUGGUGG